CCUACGGGAGGCAGCAGUGGGGAAUAUUGCACAAUGGAGGGAACUCUGAUGCAGCGACGCCGCGUGAACGACGAAGGCCUUCGGGUCGUAAAGUUCUGUCCUAAGGGACGAUAAUGACGGUACCUUAGGAGGAAGCCCCGGCUAACUACGUGCCAGCAGCCGCGGUAAUACGUAGGGGGCGAGCGUUGUCCGGAAUUAUUGGGCGUAAAGGGUGCGUAGGCGGCUAUUUAAGUCAGAUGUGAAAAGCGUAGGCUCAACCUAUGUUAGCAUAUGAAACUGAGUAGCUUGAGUUAAGGAGAGGAAAGUGGAAUUCCUAGUGUAGCGGUGAAAUGCGUAGAUAUUAGGAGGAAUACCAGUGGCGAAGGCGACUUUCUGGACUUAAACUGACGCUGAGGCACGAAAGCGUGGGUAGCGAACAGGAUUAGAUACCCUUGUAGUC
rnacentral:rRNA from 1 species